CCCCCCCCCCCCCCCCCCCCCCCCCCCCCCCCCCCCCCCCCCCCCCCCCCCCCCCCCCCCCCCCCCGAGCGGCCGCGCGUGCGCACGCGGGGAGUGCGGGGGAAGAGUCUGGAACGGGGGGGGCGCGAUGGACCCUCAGGGGAGCCCCUGUACUGAGGGGAGCCGGGCUGACGGGAGCCCCUCAGGGAAGCCCCCGGGAUCCGGGGAUCCGGGAGGGCCCUUCAAGGGCAGCCCCGGGAUGGACUCUGAGGGGAGCCCCCGCCCCGGGUCUCUCGGAGGAGUUCUCUGGGGAGCGGCCCGGCGUGAGGGCGGCCGGCACGGACCCGUGCGGGAGCCCCCGGAGAAAGAGCGGCAGCACCAGGGCUCCCAGCGGCCGGCGCUGUGCCUCGGGGGGCUGUGCCCGACCCUUGUCGCUGGGGGCUGGGGGUCGUGAGGACACCCCGCGGGUCAGGGCCGGCUGUGGUGUAACCGGAGCUCCAUCCACCCUCAGGGCUCUGCCAUGGGAGCACACAAAGCAGAGCUGGCAAACCCACUGGCGGAUAUUGUCCCAAAAAAACCAUCUAUUUCCAAAUAACAUGAAAAUGCAAAAGCAGUGUCAACAGUGUAUUAUCACUGAAAAGGAUGGCAGCUGCCCUAAGAAACAAGUGCCGCAUGUAGGGAAAAGGGAGAACACGAGCACUGAGGUCUUGAGAACAAGCUGCUUUAAUUCCUGGACCUGCCACGGCUUUUUGUCUCCUCCACCUGUCUUCAUUCAUGGUGUGGCAGGAGGGCACAGGACUCAGUGCAUCUAUGGAUUUCAUCGCUGUCCAUCAGCCCUCCCAGCUAGUGACCAGCCUCUGCCCAGGGUGUGCCAUGGAGGUCUCCAAGACCCUUCCCUUGCCAGCGACAGCCAGGAUGCAGCUGUCCCAUUCCCCAGGAACACUCGUUCCUCUUCCUGCAGAAGCAGCCGGAGAGCGGCAGGUGUGAGGGGGAAGGAGCCUAAACCGGGAUCGUGGGGACAAAUUAGCAGGUGCCUGCAGAAUAUCACUAACCCCGUCUGCGAUUCCGGAGCCUACGUAGGUGUUUUAUUUUCUAACGGUGUUAGAAAGACUGUCAGAAAAUAA
rnacentral:lncRNA from 1 species